AAUGAGCCUGCGAGUUGUGGUGUCUGGCAAGGUUAAGCAAACGCGAAGCCGUAGCGAAAGCGAGUCUGAAUAGGGCGCUUAGUCAGAUGCUGCAGACCCGAAACGAAGUGAUCUAUCCAUGAGCAAGUUGAAGCUAGUGUAAGAACUAGUGGAGGACUGAACCCAUAGGCGUUGAAAAGCCCCGGGAUGACUUGUGGAUAGGGGUGAAAGGCCAAUCAAACUUCGUGAUAGCUGGUUCUCUCCGAAAUAUAUUUAGGUAUAGCGUUGUGUCGUAAUAUAAGGGGGUAGAGCACUGAAUGGGCUAGGGCAUACACCAAUGUACCAAACCCUAUCAAACUCCGAAUACCUUAUAUGUAAUCACAGCAGUCAGGCGGCGAGUGAUAAAAUCCGUCGUCAAGAGGGAAACAACCCAGACUACCAGCUAAGGUCCCUAAGUCUUACUUAAGUGGAAAACGAUGUGAAGUUACUUAAACAACCAGGAGGUUGGCUUAGAAGCAGCCAUCCUUUAAAGAAAGCGUAAUAGCUCACUGGUCUAGUGAUUUUGCGCGGAAAAUAUAACGGGGCUAAAGUAAGUACCGAAGCUGUAGACUUAGUUUACUAAGUGGUAGGAGAGCGUUCUAUUUGCGUCGAAGGUAUACCGGUAAGGAGUGCUGGAGCGAAUAGAAGUGAGCAUGCAGGCAUGAGUAGCGAUAAUUAAUGUGAGAAUCAUUAACGCCGUAAACCCAAGGUUUCCUACGCGAUGCUCGUCAUCGUAGGGUUAGUCGGGUCCUAAGUCGAGUCCGAAAGGGGUAGACGAUGGCAAAUUGGUUAAUAUUCCAAUACCAACAUUAGUGUGCGAUGGAAGGACGCUUAGGGCUAAGGGGGCUAGCGGAUGGAAGUGCUAGUCUAAGGUCGUAGGAGGUUAUACAGGCAAAUCCGUAUAACAAUACUCCGAGAACUGAAAGGCUUUUUGAAGUCUUCGGAUGGAUAGAAGAACCCCUGAUGCCGUCGAGCCAAGAAAAGUUUCUAAGUUUAGCUAAUGUUGCCCGUACCGUAAACCGACACAGGUGGGUGGGAUGAGUAUUCUAAGGCGCGUGGAAGAACUCUCUUUAAGGAACUCUGCAAAAUAGCACCGUAUCUUCGGUAUAAGGUGUGGUUAGCUUUGUAUUAGGAUUUACUCCGAAAGCAAGGAAACUUACAACAAAGAGUCCCUCCCGACUGUUUACCAAAAACACAGCACUCUGCUAACUCGUAAGAGGAUGUAUAGGGUGUGACGCCUGCCCGGUGCUCGAAGGUUAAUUGAUGGGGUUAGCAUUAGCGAAGCUCUUGAUCGAAGCCCGAGUAAACGGCGGCCGUAACUAUAACGGUCCUAAGGUAGCGAAAUUCCUUGUCGGUUAAAUACCGACCUGCAUGAAUGGCGUAACGAGAUGGGAGCUGUCUCAAAGAGGGAUCCAGUGAAAUUGUAGUGGAGGUGAAAAUUCCUCCUACCCGCGGCAAGACGGAAAGACCCCGUGGACCUUUACUACAGCUUGACACUGCUACUUGGAUAAGAAUGUGCAGGAUAGGUGGGAGGCUUUGAGUAUAUGACGCCAGUUGUAUAUGAGCCAUUGUUGAGAUACCACUCUUUCUUAUUUGGGUAGCUAACCAGCUUGAGUUAUCCUCAAGUGGGACAAUGUCUGGUGGGUAGUUUGACUGGGGCGGUCGCCUCCCAAAUAAUAACGGAGGCUUACAAAGGUUGGCUCAGAACGGUUGGAAAUCGUUCGUAGAGUAUAAAGGUAUAAGCCAGCUUAACUGCAAGACAUACAAGUCAAGCAGAGACGAAAGUCGGUCUUAGUGAUCCGGUGGUUCUGUGUGGAAGGGCCAUCGCUCAAAGGAUAAAAGGUACCCCGGGGAUAACAGGCUGAUCUCCCCCAAGAGCUCACAUCGACGGGGAGGUUUGGCACCUCGAUGUCGGCUCAUCGCAUCCUGGGGCUGGAGCAGGUCCCAAGGGUAUGGCUGUUCGCCAUUUAAAGCGGUACGCGAGCUGGGUUCAGAACGUCGUGAGACAGUUCGGUCCCUAUCUGCCGUGGGCGUAAGAAGAUUGAAGAGAUUUGACCCUAGUACGAGAGGACCGGGUUGAACAAACCACUGGUGUAGCUGUUGUUCUGCCAAGAGCAUCGCAGCGUAGCUAAGUUUGGAAAGGAUAAACGCUGAAAGCAUCUAAGCGUGAAGCCAACUCUAAGAUGAAUCUUCUCUAAGCUCUCUAGAAGACUACUAGUUUGAUAGGCUGGGUGUGUAAUGGAUGAAAGUCCUUUAGCUGACCAGUACUAAUAGAGCGUUUGGCUUAUCUUU
rnacentral:rRNA from 1 species